rnacentral:rRNA from 1 species
UACGUGAGGGUGCGAGCGUUGUCCGGAAUUAUUGGGCGUAAAGAGCUCGUAGGCGGUGUGUCGCGUCGGCCGUGAAAACCUGCAGCUUAACUGUGGGCUUGCGGUCGAUACGGGCAUCACUGGAGUUCGGCAGGGGAGACUGGAAUUCCUGGUGUAGACGGUGAAAUGCGCAGAUAGUCAGGAGGAACACCGGUGGCGAAGGCGGCUCACUGGCCCGGUACU